rnacentral:rRNA from 1 species
AUUGAACGCUGGCGGCAUGCCUUACACAUGCAAGUCGAACGGCAGCACGGGUGCUUGCACCUGGUGGCGAGUGGCGAACGGGUGAGUAAUACAUCGGAACAUGUCCUGUAGUGGGGGAUAGCCCGGCGAAAGCCGGAUUAAUACCGCAUACGAUCUACGGAUGAAAGCGGGGGACCUUCGGGCCUCGCGCUAUAGGGUUGGCCGAUGGCUGAUUAGCUAGUUGGUGGGGUAAAGGCCUACCAAGGCGACGAUCAGUAGCUGGUCUGAGAGGACGACCAGCCACGCUGGACUGAGACACGGCCCAGACUCCUACGGGAGGCAGCAGUGGGGAAUUUUGGACAAUGGGCGAAAGCCUGAUCCAGCAAUGCCGCGUGUGUGCAGAAGGCCUUCGGGUUGUAAAGCACUUUUGUCCGGAAAGAAAUCCUUGGCUCUAAUACAGUCGGGGGAUGACGGUACCGGAAGAAUAAGCACCGGCUAACUACGUG